rnacentral:rRNA from 1 species
GAGUUUGAUCUUGGCUCAGAUUGAACGCUGGCGGCAUGCCUUACACAUGCAAGUCGAACGGCAGCACGGGAGCUUGCUCCUGGUGGCGAGUGGCGAACGGGUGAGUAAUGCAUCGGAACGUAUCCUGGAGUGGGGGAUAACGUAGCGAAAGUUACGCUAAUACCGCAUAUUCUGUGAGCAGGAAAGCGGGGGGCCUUCGGGCCUCGCGCUCUUGGAGCGGCCGAUGUCGGAUUAGCUAGUUGGUGAGGUAAAGGCUCACCAAGGCGACGAUCCGUAGCAGGUCUGAGAGGAUGAUCUGCCACACUGGAACUGAGACACGGUCCAGACUCCUACGGGAGGCAGCAGUGGGAAUUUUGGACAAUGGGGGCAACCCUGAUCCAGCCAUGCCGCGUGAGUGAAGAAGGCCUUCGG